GAUGAACGCUGGCGGCGUGCCUAAUACAUGCAAGUCGAGCGAACAGACGAGGAGCUUGCUCCUCUGACGUUAGCGGCGGACGGGUGAGUAACACGUGGAUAACCUACCUAUAAGACUGGGAUAACUUCGGGAAACCGGAGCUAAUACCGGAUAAUAUAUUGAACCGCAUGGUUCAAUAGUGAAAGACGGUUUUGCUGUCACUUAUAGAUGGAUCCGCGCCGCAUUAGCUAGUUGGUAAGGUAACGGCUUACCAAGGCGACGCUGCGUAGCCGACCUGGGAGGGUGAUCGGCCACACUGGAACUGAGACACGGUCCAGACUCCUACGGGAGGCAGCAGUAGGGAAUCUUCCGCAAUGGGCGAAAGCCUGACGGAGCAACGCCGCGUGGGUGAUGAAGGUCUUCGGAGCGUAAAACUCUGUUAUUAGGGAAGAACAAAUGUGUAAGUAACUAUGCACGUCUUGACGGUACCUAAUCAGAAAGCCACGGCUAACUACGUG
rnacentral:rRNA from 1 species